GGUGUGAGCCACCACGCCUGGCCCACAGAUACCAUUUUGAUAGGUAUAUUGCUGGAAAGCUCAAGAGCACAUGGAUCUUUAAAAGGAAGCAAAUCAGGGUAGGUGAGGGAAAAAACACGAAUUCCAGUGCUCAGUAGGAAUUUAUACAAUUCCUACUGAGGCAUCUGCUCUGUGGACUGUUUUAUCAGUCUGAUUAAUGGAGGGACCAAAUAAAUCCUCACAGUUAAUUGACAUAUCUCUGUCCUUACUUGUUAUUACUCUAUUCUUAUGGUUAUUUUUAUUAAUAAGAAAACUAUUGUUUCUAGUGAACUUAAGAUGGAUGAGUAUGAAACCUAACAAUUUAGGAUCUUUUCCCAGAGUCUUCCAGUCAUUCCUCUGAAAAAUGAGGGAGCAUUUGAUUCCUAACUUCCUCCUCUCCAUCCCCACGACAAGCCACGGAAUUAUAAGCACAGAGGCCUCCAUGGAAACACAGUAUUACAUUUUCCAUUCUUUUAAAGAAGGAUAACAAAAUAACUAUCUUCCUACUGAAAUCAAGAAAUUGAGGCCCGGAGGAUCCUAAGCUGUCCAGAACUCUGACUGAGCCCACUGAUAAUUCCUGGACAUCACAGUUUCGUUUGUGGUUUCUCUGAAGUACUGCUGUGAACGUUGCUGUUCACAUCUCCUGGUGCCCAUAUCUGCAAACAUUUCUCAAAAGCAGUGGUUCUCACACUCGGAUGUGUAUCAAAGUCACCUGAAAGGCUUGCGGAAACCCAGGUUGCUGGGCCCCAGCCCUAGAGUUUCUGGCUCAGUGGGCCUAGUGGCUGGAGACUGGCAUUUCUAACAAGUUACCCUGAUACUGAUCCUGCUGAUUGAGGGACCAUCCCAGGAGCACAAUUACUGCGUUGUAGGGUCUCAGAUGGAAUCUUCAGUGAUGAGGCCACAUCUGUCCUGGCUCGAUCAAGGAUUUUUGGUUGCAUUGCUUCCAUUAUGACCCAGGUAUGUCCUUGCUGGGCUUCUGCCAGCAGCUUCCACACGCCUGGAAUGGGCUGGCUUUUCCUGCAAGUUUGUUUCUACGCCAGCUCCUGGGAGCAGCUGUCUACCAGGACAUACCUGGGGAGCUGAUAAACACACUAAAGAAGCACGUCUGGCUCCCCAGCCAGAUGGCAAGACCUGAAAUACCUGACCAUUUUGGACAGGUUUGCUUUACUGAUGGGACAGCAUUCACCCUGCUAACAUCUGUGUUGGGGAAGUCUUCCUACCAUGUCCCUGGUGGCAGGGAGGAAGCCUGCAUGCUUACUCUAGGCAGUUUGCUCCCCUGGACCCCCAAUGGGGAUUUCUGCGUCCUACUUGAGUCCCUAAGAAGACAGGCCAUUGCUGGUGUUUUUUUUCCCCAAAAUAACAACAGGAGUCAAGAAAAUCAAUGAAGAGUAUUCCUAGGCUCUGGAAUCCACUGCUGACAGUGGGAAGCCCUGUGCAAAGAGAGCCACCUGCCACAGGGACAGGGCAGGAUAGGGCACGUCUCAAUGCAGCCUCAGUGGCAAUGGAAGUCCUCGGAUGGGACUCAGCCAUAGCCUCGGAGAUGGCUGGGCCACCCACCGUCGCACUCCCUUCAUGACGUUGUAACUCCAAUCCAAGAAUAGUUGAGGAUGUUUGGGAAAUUCACACUCUAAAAAUAUUUCCUUUUUUCAUAUAGGCAAGGUAACACAGCAGAGUGACAGUGGGUUACCAAGAACGCAGUUUCCUUCAUUAUGUAACACAGGCAAAAAUAGUGUUUUGGGACAAAAUAGGGCUGAGAAAGAGGAAUAUGGACAAAUAGCAUGGACAAGUCAUUAUUUACUCAAAUCAUCCUGUGGCUGGAGGGCUUUGGAAGAGUUCUGAGCGUGUCCCAUCACUGAUGACCCAGGUCAGACUGUCCGACCACAGCCGAGGCCACCUUUCCGAAGCAAAGUUUAACUGAAGCAAAGGAAGCGGUUUAAGGCAAGGCCCUGGCCCCGCACACAGGCAGACCUGGUGACUCCUGGAUGAGUGAGGGAUGGGGACCCCCUCCUGGGACACCAUCCCAUUUUGGGGCACAUGUUGAAGAGUAGGGGCCAUUCCAGAGCACUGGUCACCAGCAUUCCUGCCAUGGGGCUUGUGUGUGGGCUGGUGGCAGGGCCCCAACCCUGAGGGGCUGGGCCACGUCUCCACGCGGAGUCCCAAGCUGGGGUCUUCUGGUUCAGCUGCUUCCUUGGCUGCUAAGCGAAGGCCAAGAACGCUCCCUGCAGGAGGGUCAACUGUUCACUUUGGAAGGAUCUAUCCAUGAUCACCUGUCAGAUAUCACAACCUACCAGGGGAAGAGCUAGCAGAGAAGUUUUGUUUAGAUGAAGUAGCUUGAGCUUGUGUUUCAAGAACUAGCCAAAUCCCACUUUUGAGAGCCAGAGAAAAGCCAGCAGCAGAGUCCUUGGGCUUCCAGGAGCUAAUAUUCUCAAGUGUAGUCUCAUGACGCCCAAUGGGUGAAAGUUACAGGCCAGAAGAUUUAAACAAGAGUGGGGCCUCUUCUGCCAUAGAGGUAUAGAGGCAUCAAGGCAUCCAUCUACCCAUCCAUCCAUCCAACCCUAUCUGUUACAGUGUGCUGAGAAGAAAGGAGUUGGGAGUAGGGGCCAGGACAGUGGACAGGGCCACCUGUUGGACUGAGGCAAACUGGAGGCUGUUUCAUGGCCUUCCAUCCCUCUACAUCCUGUCCACCAAUGCCUGGCAAGGAGCAGUGCAAGAAACCCAAACCCCACUUGGCUUGGGGAAAGUUUUAAGUGCACCCACCCUGCUACCAAAAUACUAUAAGGGGAACUGACAUUCCCACACUUACCUCGAGGCAGCCCUUUCUCUCUAUGUUUAUGCUUCAGUAUAACCAUUUUUACUUUGGAUUGAAGUGGAAAUUUUAGGCCUAAAAAUAAGAUUACCAAGCAGAGACCUUCUAGCAACACAGACGUAAUACAUGUUGAUCUCCACGUAACUAGAAAUGUGGUGAUGUUAUUCUCAUACUGGGGGCUACACGUCCCCAUAGAUUAUUUUAACUAAAAUACAAAGCAAAAUAGUGUGUUAAAAUAAUCCUCUACUCACUGCAUUAGCGCAUAAACCAAAUGAUACUAUCUGCAUGAGUCCCUAGGUUCCCAGACUGUAUUUUUGCAUGUGCUGUUCUCUACUUCAAUAGGGUACGCAGCCAGCAACCACAGAAAAAGAAUCCAUGCUGUACAGCAAGAGAAGGGGAGGGAGAUGAUUUUCAGUGUGAUGACUUACAUGUCA